CAGGAAAAUCUUCUCAAAAGUCGAGGGUCGUCUUAUACGCCGGGGGUAGUCUUAUACGGCGAAUAUAUCCCAAACUCUAUAUUUUAACUGGAAAAGUUGGGGGUCGUCUUAUACGCCGGAAAAUACGGUAA